AUUGAACGCUGGCGGCAGGCCUAACACAUGCAAGUCGAACGAGUGGCGGACGGGUGAGUAAUGUCUGGGAAACUGCCCGAUGGAGGGGGAUAACUACUGGAAACGGUAGCUAAUACCGCAUACCAUCGGAUGUGCCCAGAUGGGAUUAGCUAGUAGGUGGGGUAACGGCUCACCUAGGCGACGAUCCCUAGCUGGUCUGAGAGGAUGACAAGCCACACUGGAGCUAGGAAACGGACCAGACGCCUACGGCAGGCAGCAGUGGGAAAUAUUGCAGAAGGGAGGCAAGCGUGAUGCAGCCAUGCCGCGUGUAUGAAGAAGGCCUUCGGGUUGUAAAGUACUUUCAGCGAGGAGGCGUUACUCGCAGAAGAGACACCGGCUAAGACCGUGCCAGCAACCGCGGUAAUAC
rnacentral:rRNA from 1 species